rnacentral:sRNA from 12 species
CAAGGCUUGGAAUCAUGAUGCUGUGGGCCUUGCCAGCGUCAAGCGAGCGAUCACGGGGAUCUCCAGACGCUCGUCGGUACAGCCGCUGACUGCUUAAAGUAGGCCGUUGAGGGAAGCUCGCAUUGCUCUCAUCGCUCCGAAUUUCAUGUAGCAGUCGCGCCGCAUGCCGUGGAGGGGUGAGCUGUGUUGGCAGCUCAGAAGAUGCGGGACGCCG